CUUCCCAUCUCACUCCCAUGUUCUCUACUACUAAUAGAUUUUACUGGCCAUGCUUGUGGGAUAGAGUAAAAUUGCCAUAAUCAGGAGAGGGAGGAUUUUUUUGUGUCCUUUUCUGAUACGAAAUGGUGAACAUAAAAAG